AUUUAUUUAUAUAAAAGAUAGGUAAAGUGUUUUAAGGGCACUGCUUCGUGUCUUGGAAUUAUUUUUGCAAUUUAAAGAUUCACAAUGAAGUGGCUUCAUCUAACAUUUAUUUUACUUAUUUGUUACUUUUCGUUUUAUAAUGCGGUAUCGGCGCUCGAACCUAAUCCACAGCCUUUUUUGGAUACCAUAAAGGAAUGUAAGAAUUCGAAGAAUUGUUUAAUAAAUGACUCUGGAAAUGUAAGCAGUAGUGGGAAUGAAAUGCGUUAACCUGAUGAAAUCCUAGAAUGCGAUCAUUAGCGCCCCGGGCGGAGGCACGACAAUGUAACAAACAAGCAAUAAGCUUUCUAUAAUAAAUACGUGUGAAAUGUAAUAUUUUACUGUCCUUUUUUAUAUUUAAUAUGUUUUCCACUCAUGUUCUUAAAUAUACGAAAACAAUAUAUAAGUAUAAAUUCACCAAAUUUCAGCAAUUCAGAAUAUUAGUUUAUAUUUUUUGUAAAAAACAGACCAAAAAUUCUUAUGUUCAUUAUUUCCUUUGAGUCUUAGCUAUUAUUCUUUUUAAUUUUUUUUUUUUGUAUACAUUUUCCUAAUCGCUGGUUCUUUAUUGUGUUUAAAAUAUGAUU